rfam:Grosmannia clavigera kw1407 unplaced genomic scaffold GCSC_132, whole genome shotgun sequence.
ACGUACGGCCAUAGAUACUGGAAAGCACGGGAUCCCGUCCGCUCUCCCCUAGUUAAACCAGUAAUCGGCGGAUUAGUAGUUGGGUCGGUGACGACCAGCGAAUACCCGCUGCUGUACGUU